CGCUGUGAUGCGAAUACCAACACGAACGAGAUUAACAGCAACAUCUGAUGCGUGCGCCAAAGCGCAAACUCAUGACGCGAACUCGUUUUUACAACAGCUGAUGC